rnacentral:lncRNA from 1 species
CAGGGCUCCCCGACUUCCCUAUGGCUGAUGUCAAAACGCCUCGCGGGGGCAGCCCAGGGGCACGGCCGCUCCGGGGGUCCCCUUUCGUCUGGAGAAACACAGAGGCCCACCAUCACCUGGCCGCGCCGUGCAGGCCUCUGCGCGGACCCCCGCCCCUGUCUCCACCUUCCCCAGGCCUGCGGGGCACGUGAGGCCUGGCCACACGGACCCGGGCGGAGGGCUGCGGGGGUGAAGGGAGCCCCCGCCCCAAUUCUGCACCCCUGGCCUCCCGCCUGCCUCCUUGCGGCCGAGCAGCCUCCGCUGCCUCCGCGCCUCCCGCCCGCCCGGCGUUCGUCCGCAGGCUCGGCCCGGCUCCUCCUCCCGACCCCGGUAAUACGAACCGCCGGCGGCUAACGCGGCCUCGCUCCCUCUCGCAAACCUCUCCCUCCUCCUCCUCCCCCUCGCCUCAGCUCCUCCUCUCGGGCGGGAGCGGGUAGCCAGGGGUGGAGUGGGGGAGGGCGGGGAACGCGGCCGCCCCGGCGCCGGCGGGACGUGGGGCGGGCAGCGGGCUGCAGGGCUGCGGGCGCUUGGUUCGGCCUGGCCCGGCCGGCGGCUCCUAACACCGGGCGGGCGGCUGCGGCGGCACUUCCGGGUUGGCCUUCUCCAUGUUGGUCUCGGGAACGUGAAGGGGCGGGGCCUCGAGGUCAGGGGUCAGCACCUCCCUGGUUGCCGUGGCGACUGGAGGCGCGCGACGCGGGCGCAAUGGCGGGGACCCGGGGCUUGAUGCUGCUUGGGCCUGGCCCAGUGGCGGGUCCUAGGGACGUGGGUACCUGCAGAGGCCGGCAGAUGGAGAUUCAGAAACAUAAGGACAACAAGAAACUUCCCCAAGGUAUCAUUAUAGUCUUUAGACUUCAGACACACACCACACCUCAAAUAUAUACACAACUGAAAGGAAAAUUAAGGAAGUUUUUCAAAGAACCCUAUUCCGAGUAAGAAGUGUGUUGCAUGAAUUUCUAAGAGCCAGAAAAUGCAUGACACAGGAGAAGAUGUACCCUCAUCUGUUCAGUGAGAGAUGUGCAAAUCAACAUCAACACAGAACUGCUGAAGAAAAAAAAUAUGUCUCUGAAAAGCAACUUAUUCACUGGAGAUGUGAGGAGCCAUCCGCACAUCACAAUUCUAUAGACAUCAAACGCAUGAAGCAUUUCGGAUCUGCUUUAAGACUGAGGCAGACUUUCCAUCUGGACACAGCCGACCAUCCAUGUGUCAUUACAAUGAAUCCAGCACUUCCCUGGAAGCUGGAAGGGUCAAAUUCAACUUCAACUCUGCCACUUCCUGCUUAACUUGCUGUUUAACCUUGGGCAAGCUGCCAUCCCACACGAGGCCGAAGGUGUCGGUUUUUAAAAUACAGAAAUUUGGUUCCAUGAGGGAUUAUCAAUAUACUGCUGGUGGGCCAAAUUCCAUCUGCUACUUGCCUUUGUAAAUAAAGUUUUAUUGAAACACAAACAUGCCCAUUAGUUUACUCUUGUCUGUGACUACAAGGGCAAAGUUGAAUAGUUGUUACAGAGACCAUCAGGCUCACAAAGCCUAGGUUAUUUACUAUCUGCCCAUUUACAGAGUAAGUUUGCCAGCCCUGGACUGGAUAAUUUUUUGAGUUCUUUCUAAUUCUAGAAUUCUUUAUAUAUUUUAUGAAACCCCUAAUGUUUAUAUAUUAAUUAUUUCAAUACCCGUGUCUUUACUGAGUCCCUCCUAUGAAGCAUACAUCAAGACAUAUGUGUGAUACAUUAACUAAACUUUUAACAGUAUCUUAAAUAGGAUUUCAAUGACUAACAGCUCUUGGAAAUAUCCAAGGUAACAUUUGGGGGCAAAUGUCUUAUGAUUUGAUUAUCAUUGGUAAAUAGAGCAUAUCUUUUUUUCCACUAACAAUGUUUAAGAAGUUAAAAAAAAAUCAAGAAAACCCCGUAUGGCACUAGAGACUUAUUGCAUUAAGACAUCAUCUUAACAGAUUGUUUAGUUUUGGUAAUAUAAUUUGACAUCUAAACAUAAGCUGAGAGGGAUCUCCCUCAAAACCUUUGAUAAUAUGAUUCAUUGUCAAAUGUUUGUUUUGCCUAUCUGGCACUCAUUAAUUAAUUCUUUUUAAUAUAGCUUGGAUUUACUGAUUUUGAAAAAGAGAAUUAUUCUUAUUGAUGUUGCUAAAAUAUCCAGGUGGCUUGAAUUUCACCAACUAGAUAGUUUAAUCUAGCACAUUUGUGUAGCCCUAAUCAAAUCUUUACUAACAGAUGUGAGAAGCCCAGUACUGGAGCUAAUGUUUGUGUCUCAAUGAUAAUUAAAUUAGCUUAAUAAGGAAAAUAAAUGAACAAUAAUCACCAAAAUUUUUCCCUAAACCUGUGUUAUAGUCUUAAAAACAUUUUUUCCCCUAUGGAGGCUUUUGGUAAUAAAACACAAAUUGAGGGAUUUUAAUUAAAAGAAAUUUUUUUUUCAAGAACUGGUCAUGUACUAAAUUGCUUAUAAUCAAAUAAUCAAGUAGCAUUUCUUUUAUUAUAAGAGCAAAACCUAUAAUUAAGCCAAAAUUCAAAUUUGUUUUUAAAGGUUGAAUAAUCUUUUGUUUUGGCCAAUAGUAUGUGGAUUUUUUUUUUAAGUAUUAUCUCUUUGUAGUAUUUUCUAAUGGAUAGGAAAUGCCUUUCUCAGGUUGAAUGAUUAUUUCCACAUAGAAUUAGUUCCUGCUUACAACAGUGCUCCACUAAUGUAAUGGCUCGGUGAAUUGGCUUUAUAAUUCAUUAAUCAUAGCUCACAUUGAGCUUUUGGCUCCAGGUGACAGUGCCCACCACAGGCCAAAUAACUUCUCAUUUAAAGGCAAUUUGUACAAAUAGGGAAGGUGAGAAUUCUCACAGUCCCAGAGGGAUUGAAGAGUUUUAAAAAACCAAGAUAAGGCAUUUUAUGGAAGACAGGUUGAUGGAAGAAAAGUGGCCAUUGGAGGAUGAGGCAGAUGGCUUUCCAGGGAGGCCCUGGAGCUGCCACCAUGGGGAAGGCCAUGUUGCAGCUGCUGAUCAGAGCACAUUGGACGGUGUUUCCGUGUGAACAUGAAGACAAUGCUGCCUCUGUUUCUGUGACGCUGUGCUCUGAUCUUGCUGGAGGCGAAGUGGUGUCAGCUGUGCUUACAGGACAGUCAGUGGUGGUAGAAAAGAGGCCAGUGUGACCUGUGAAGGACUGGGCCCCUCUCACUCAACCUGAGUGCCUGCAGUUGUGGCCACCUUUAUUUGUGUAUUCUACUGUAUUUAUUUAUUUGCCUGGCUAAUUAGCUCUGUGCCACAUUCCUAAGCUAGAUGUGUCCCUUCAUGUAAGUGAGAGGGAGACAGAAAGAAAGACUGAGGUGGGGGGUAGGAGAAAGAGAGGAAAGCAAGCAAGAAGAAAGAGAAAGAGAGAAGAAGAAAGGAAGAGGAAAGAAAGAGAGAAAGAGAAAGAGAAGGAAGGAAGGAGAAAGAGAAGGAAAGAAGGAGCCUUCUAAUUUUAUUUCAUUUCUCCAAUAAAUGUUCCUAUAUUAAGACUUUAGACAAAGAUUAGAAAUAUGAUUUGACAGAAAGUGUAUGGAUGUGUUGUUCUAUUGCAUUGUAAGUAAAGUAUCCAUGGCAAUAUACAAAUAAUACAGCUCCUACCCCUAUUCUCUGUUGUUACUUUCAUGUGUUGUCUUAACUUUUUAAAUUUCAAGAUAAUAUUGCGCUUAUUUAUUUUUCCAUGAGGAGGCCUAGGAUUUAGCUUGAUUAGAAAAGCUGUGGAAAAUGAAUGUGCUAAUUACUUUAAAUCAAAUUGAAAAUAAAUUUUAUCCUGUUUCAUGCAAAACAUAGUGUAUUUGACUGUUAGUUCAUUCAACUAAUAAAACCAAUUAUGUCUAUAAGUGAUUGGGCACUUAAUAAGCCAGCCCCUGUCCUAAUGCUUUCUUUAUCUCAUAUAAUUCACAUCAUGAAGCGAUGGGAAGAUCUCAAGUGACCCAUUAGCCAGAAGAGGAAAUCAAGCCUGCUAUCAAGACUAAUGCUGGGAGAAUUUCUCCAGGGCACUUAGGUGCUUCUUUUGCAGGAAAAUUUAAGAUCCAUGCCUCCUGCCACACAAGCAUUGGAAGAGAUCAAAGGCCACCCCUGGAAGCUCAAGAGGGAAGGACCAGGAGAGUCCAUGGGGGGCAUGGGCAAAUAUCAAAACCUACGUUUUCUACUAAGUAAAUACCUCCGAUUCACAUCUCACUGGUUCUGGGGAAGCAGAGCGACCACUCUGUAUAAAACAGCAAACUGAGAAAGAGAUCGAUAGGUCAUCAAAGCCACCUGCUUGCUUGGUGGCCCCUCAAGUUGUCUUCUGCUCAGAAGUUCUGAGAGUUGAUGAAAGUUAUCAUCGAAAGUACCCAGUCCAGCUCAGGCCAGUCCAUAUUGCUGCCAAGUAAACUAUUUUUAAAGUUCUUGGGGUUUUGAAAAAUAUUCUGACUGGUGGCUGGGCAUGGUGGCUCACACCUGCAAUCCCAGCACUUUGGGAGGCCAAGGCAGGCAGAUCACCUGAGGUCACGAGUUUGAGAUCAGCCUGGCCUACACAGUGAAACCCCAUCUCUACUAAAAAUACAAAAAUUAGGCAGGUGUGGUGGCACACGCCUGUAAUCCCAGCUACUUGGGAGGCUGAGGCAGGAGAACCACUUGAACCCAGGAGGUGGAGGAUGCAGUGAGCCAAGAUCACGUCACUGCACUCCAGCCUGGGUGACAGAGCGAAACUCCAUCUCAGAGAAAAAAAAGAAAAGAAAAAAGAAAAAUAUUUGACUGGAGGGUUAGCUGUAUUCCUUACUUUCUCUUUAUUCCCACCCCACCACUCCAAAAAACACUGGCUCAGUGACCAGGCCGCUGAUAGCACAAUGUGCUUUCUCACAUGGAGAGGAGGCGAAGCUUCAGCAUGUGAAUUGUAUUCUCCACAACAUAUGGUGGAGAAAACAGACAGUGGGAAGGGGAGUGAUUUGUGACUGUUCAUCCCAAACUGCGUUCUAUUGUGUUGCCAAAAAUGAUAGACUUAAAUAAAU